rnacentral:rRNA from 1 species
GUAGGUGGCAAGCGUUGUCCGGAAUUAUUGGGCGUAAAGCGCGCGCAGGCGGUUCUUUAAGUCUGAUGUGAAAGCCCACGGGCUCAACCGUGGAGGGUCAUUGGAAACUGGAGAACUUGAGUACAGAAGAGGAAAGCGGAAUUCCACGUGUAGCGGUGAAAUGCGUAGAGAUGUGGAGGAACACCAGUGGCGAAGGCGGCUUUCUGGUCUGUAACUGACGCUGAGGCGCGAAAGCGUGGGGAGCAAACAGGAUUAGAUACCCUGGUAGUCCACGCCGUAAACGAUGAGUGCUAAGUGUUAGGGGGUUUCCGCCCCUUAGUGCUGCAGCUAACGCAUUAAGCACUCCGCCUGGGGAGUACGGCCGCAGGGCUG